rnacentral:lncRNA from 10 species
CAGGGCUUGAAGGCUGUGGGUGUGGGGCCCCAUAAUCAUUUGGUCCAGGACAGGCAGUAGGCGUCAGGGGGCGCCCUAAGGCUCCACGGCAUGUGCCUGUAUUGCUGGGACAUCGAGCCUUCCCAAGUCAACCCUGAGGUGGAGUGGAAAUUACAGAAGUAGGGAGCAGGAUAAAGUUCUCAAUUGCCAGAUGUGGAACAGAUUGCUCUUGGGUCUUCUGGUUAAAAGAUUGGAUCAAAACGAGUGAAGGAGGAGUUAUUUAAGGAAGGACCAAGACAACAUCAUCCUUCAGAGGUCACUGAGCGGCAGCUUGCAAAUAAACGUAUUCAGAAUAUGCAACACCUAAAGAAAGAGAAGAGGAGACUGAAUAAAAGGUUUUCAAGGCCUUCUCCUAUUCCAGAACCAGGACUCCUACCACGUGUAUAGUAAGAAGCAGAGAAGAUGGCAAUGGCCAAGGGGUAAGUUCAUCUGCAUAAGAAGAUUAGAGUGAGGUGGCCAGCCUUCCCUGCAUGCUAUGUAAACAUCAUACCUGAGUGAACCAAUCUGUGAGCCCUAUGUAAAUCAGACGCCUCCUCAAGCCUGACUAUAAAAUCUGUCGCCUCCACCACCGGCCCGUCUUUCCUCUCAG